rnacentral:tRNA from 1 species
GAUGAGAUGGCCAAGUAGUUAAGGCGAUGGACUGCAAAUCCAUUGUGCUCUUCAAGGAUGGGUUUGAAUCCCUUCCUUGUUG